rnacentral:tRNA from 1 species
GGGGGUGUCGCAUAGUGGCCAAUUGCGGCGGACUGUAACUCCGCUUCCUUACGGAUACGUUGGUUCGAAUCCAACCGCCCCCA